AUUGAACGCUGGCGGCAUGCCUUACACAUGCAAGUCGAACGGCAGCACGGGUGCUUGCACCUGGUGGCGAGUGGCGAACGGGUGAGUAAUACAUCGGAACAUGUCCUGUAGUGGGGGAUAGCCCGGCGAAAGCCGGAUUAAUACCGCAUACGAUCUACGGAUGAAAGCGGGGGGCCUUCGGGCCUCGCGCUUUAGGGUUGGCCGAUGGCUGAUUAGCUAGUUGGUGGGGUAAAGGCCUACCAAGGCGACGAUCAGUAGCUGGUCUGAGAGGACGACCAGCCACACUGGGACUGAGACACGGCCCAGACUCCUACGGGAGGCAGCAGUGGGGAAUUUUGGACAAUGGGCGAAAGCCUGAUCCAGCAAUGCCGCGUGUGUGAAGAAGGCCUUCGGGUUGUAAAGCACUUUUGUCCGGAAAGAAAUCCUUGGCCCUAAUACGGUCGGGGGAUGACGGUACCGGAAGAAUAAGCACCGGCUAACUACGUG
rnacentral:rRNA from 1 species